AUGGAAAGAAGGCAUCCAUAAGGGCGAGAAAGGAAGUCAGGAGCUUCAGAGCAGGGCAAACGCCGGCACUGAACCAGCUGAUUCACUUCAUGCUGCACUUGGGAAAACAGCUGGUGUGAUGAAUUCUAGACAGAUUUAAUACUGAGGGGUACGCUGAGGUCAGCAGCUUUUCACUGUGUGCAGAUUAGACAAGAAAUAUUGUGUGUAGCAUCGCUAGAUGGGCUGUGUACACACUGAGCUGCCUCCUCGGCCUGCAGUGCUGCUGUUAACAGCAGAAGCCUGAGAUAAAGCCAAGGUUUAUAGAUAAGGGGAUGCACGGAAUCAUGGAAGAUCAACUCGGCAACAUAUCGGACAGCAGUGAAAAACCACAUGAGCCAGCCAUUUGCAUCAACAUAAAUACUUAGUAUCAUGAUAGUGUAUAAAAGACUAAUUCACGGACACUACAUACAGCACAAUAUGCUUUUCAGAAAGCUCUAAACUAUCGUGUUGAGGAAUAUGUCUCUAUUUGGUACACAUAUUCAGGAGUUUGUGUAGUCUAUAGCUGUUUCUAUAAUAAAAUGGUAGGACUGAGUAGCUUUGCAAAAGGUAAGCUUGUCUGGCCCACAGAGGAUCUGCAAAUUCAGCCUGUCCCCUAUACGGAGACAGCAGCAGGAGACCUAGCAGGAGGAUAACAAGGAAGGAUAGCUGGGAGGGACAGUGGCACUGGAAAGGACAGACUGAAGAGGUGGAGGUCUCUAUUUUGUUUGAGUUUGAGGGCAGAGACCUUAGGUGGAGAAUGUAAAGAGAAGGUUGUUCUUGCACAACCUCCAUACUUGUGUGCCUUCUACUUGGCAUGCUGAAACUCGGGCUUAAAGGAUGUUUCUGAGAACUCCAAUGGACCCCUGAGGUACUUUCAACUAUCAAUCAUCCUGUAAGUUUGGGAAGGAGCAUUCUACUUCCUAGACAAAGCAACUGAAUCUCAAGGAAGAUACAGGAAUGAACUGAAGCAUUUUAUAACAACUGUACUUCCAGCUUUUCUGAAAGACAGAUGUCAUGGGAACAUGGGGGUCAACCUUCCCUCUCUACCACAAUCAUCCAAAAGAUACCAUGUGUAUGACACUUUCCUACCCAGGCUGCCCUACUUCUCCGUUUCUGCCCCUGGCCUGGACCCAGGAUACCCUUCAGGCAACUUUAUAGGUAUUCAACUUUCUGUAAAAUAGAAAGUUCACUUGAACUUCUUUCCUUCAAGGACAUUUUAUUAUAAACAAAAUUUUAUGGUUUAGAUUUUCAUAUUAGAUCAGUCUGUCAUUUUGAAUAUGGCAAGAUUACUAUUACUCCUUCAGAAGGAGCCACUAGGGCAGGCUCCACCUCUUUCUUUUAGUUUCUCACUUAUAUCAACAGGGCUUAUAUCCUAUCUGGACCACUCUACAUAGACCAGGGAAGGUCUGUGAACUGAUAGAAGCAGUCCCUGGGGCCCUCAACACAGUCUGGAAAGUGGCAUUAGGGUAAAAUAAUGACAGCAGGAUAUCUUACCUAUUAUCUGAAAGCCAAUAUUGUCUACCGAAAUAGAAAGUUUAAUUCUUACCUCCUCUUUGCCUUACAAUUAGCAGAGUUGAAGAUCUAGAACCUCCUAGUCCAACUGAUGAAUUAGUAAUUACCUGUCCACCAAUUCUAUGUGAAUCUACUGUAAAAUCCCUGCCUGAGAGUGGCAGUUAAGAACAGGGCCAACAGCCUGCAAACUGCCUUUGCCUGCAGAUGGAGACCAUUACAGAAAAGCCACAACUGCUCAAACUACAGAGAACAGGUGACCACUGGUACCCAGCCUCAAUACAUCUACAACUCAACUCUUACAUCUGAGGCUCAGAGGCCAUCUCAGAAGAGGGGCGCAGAAAGAAGAGCCAAAGGACCAGGAUGUCUGCUUUGAGACGGAAGGUCAGAGAGGCUGAACUCAUGAAGUCUCAACAAUAUGGUUGCUUAAUCACGACCUGAAACAUGCUACCAGCUGACACACCAGCAUGGACAGGAGGAAGCUCAUGAGGCUCCAACCCUGAAAAGAGCUACAGGAAAUCAACAGUUGCCAAGAGAGGGAGAAUCCAUCAUCUCCAGAGAUGUGCUCCCUGAUAGGUUGUCUAAUCCCAACAGAAAUGAAUUCAGUGGGGGGGGUGUGUGUGUGUAACAAUAAUAAUUAAAAAAAUAAGAGGCCGGGAAUUUUAGGAGGCUGAAGGGAGGAGAGGAGAUAAAUUAUGUAAUUAUAGUAUUCACAUAUUAAAUUCUCAAAAUAAAUAAAUAAAGAAAGAAGACACAAGAGUGUCUGGGUCUUCCUGGAGCUUCUCUAUCUGAAAAAUAAAUACUGCUAUUGAACUGUAAGAGACGCAUUACGUGUAAGAGGGCAAAACUGCCUGACCUAUACCAGGCUACUAAAAUAUUAACUGCCAGAGAUGAUGUUACUAUUGUUGGCUCCAAUAAUUAACACGUUCUAAUAGAGUAUUGCAUUAGUGGAGUUCUAUUGCUGUGAUAAAACACAAUGACCAAGAGUCGCUUGAAGAGGAAAGGGUUUAUUGGCUUACACACCCUGCCUCAUGGUCUACCAACCGAAGUCAAGGCAGGAACUAGAGCACAGCAGGAAGUUGGAGACAGGAACUAGAGCAGAAGCCAUGGGGGAGUGCUGCUUGCUCUGUUCUUUUUCAGCUGUUCCCCAGGACAACCUGCACAGGCACUGCCCAGUGGCCUGGGCCCAUCCACAUCAACCAUCAAUUAAGAAAGUUCCCAACAGGCCAGACCAUCUUAUGGAGGCAUGUUCUCAACGGAGGUUCCCUGUUCUCAGAUGACCUUAGCUUGUUUCAAGUUGACCACAAACAAACAAGUAAUAACCACCAAGCAAAACUAACCAACCAACUAGGACAGUGUGUGUCUGAAAAUGAUUACAUCAUUCAUUCCAAAGCCUUAGUGCAUGCCUAUAAUUCCAAGUAAAGAUGGAGGGUUAUAUCCAGUGAUACAUGGAGAUGUAGGCUAGCCUGGGCUACAGAAGAUCCUGCGGCAUAAGAAGACAAACAAUAAAAAUCCCAAGGGUACUUUUUAUAUGGUGUUCUGCUUAUAAACAUCUCACCCCUGAGGGAAACAAGUUUGUAAAAUCCUAAUUACGAGGGUGUCCUAUAACACUGGGAACAGGUUUUCAUGUGCAUGUGUGCUCAUGUCUUAAAAUGGCCUCAGCUUUUCUUAAAAAGCCUGUUAGACACAGAUUUGUUAGCACAGAUCAUGCUGCUGCUGAGAAUGGGAUGCUUGGAAAUGACACUACAAAAACAAAACAAAAAAAUAAAAACAAUUACGGACCCAGUCUUCAACCACAGUUUUGAAAUGAGCUAAAGGAGAGCAAUGGAAAAGGUCAAGGCAAACACAGCGAGAUAACUGUGAAAAGGACUAAAUCACCUAUGCUCAAAUCCAGGCCCUAUAACUUACUAGGUGUGUGACCUUGGGGACCUCUAUUUCCCCAGCUGCCGUGUGGGGAAUGACAGCACUGCCUGUCCCACAGCUACCAAGAGGUCUAACCUGCAGCAGCACAAGGACUGUCAUAUAACAAACUGCCAGCAUCUAUUACUGUUGUGACAGUGGUGGUAGUUGGCAUCAUUAAAAGAAGAGACAAUGGCGUCAAGAGGCCAUCGGUCACUUCUGCUCUGACAUGCUCUUUCAAAGGGUCAUCCGUAGUUACGAUGUGCUCACCGGCAUAAACAGGAUGCUCAAUUCUAAUAGUCCAACAUAAACAGGAGCCUCCUGAUCUCCAGAGUCCAGGGAGGUUCACGAAAGAGGUGUCUAGGUCUAUAGGACAAGAUGUGCUUGCUCUGCCCCUAAGGUUCAUUUAAAUGCCACUGGGAAUAACAGGGAAAGACAGAGGCCAGAAGACUGAGCUGAGGGCCUUCUUAAACUCGAAACAAGUGGAGAGUUCCCUUUUCUCUGCUUCACUCUCCAGGCAGCUUGGUGCUAAAUUAUCUUUGUUUUUCUUAGUGAUUAAAAAAAAGCUGUAUACGCUCAGCACACAGUUACUAUCACCUUACUACAGCACUGUUUAGUACCCCAGAGGAGUCAGAAUACAUUUUAGCAUUUCCAUAACUACCGACUUAGGACCAGCCACAUGCCUCUUUCCCCAGUGGAAGUAUCCAAUUUUCACCAUCUCGA
rnacentral:sRNA from 1 species